AUUUCAUGGAAAAUAUGGGUUUUGAUGGAGCUUGAAGCAAGCUUCUCCCUUCAUUCUAGGUGUACCUAGGGACUGUGAACGUUUGGAUUCUCGUGGAGUAUGAUAAGUAGCUUGUUCUUCAAGUAAGCAGAUUGUAAAGCUCAAAGAGGAAGUGAGCCCAGGGUAUGGAGGGUUUUCCAUAAACCUGGAGUUUACUAGAGAUUCGUCUCUAACCCCGUUUGGGGAUAUGAUUUCAGGAACACAGUUAAUUGAAGAGCCUCAUGGGACAAGGACACUAACCGUGGCUAGAGGUACUAGUAUGAGGAUGUGGAGUUCUGGGUGGUCGGAUGCUACUUUUUGUUUUAGACGUAUUUUUGGAAAAGAUGUAUUGUUGCAUAGUGUUCAUAUUCGAUACAUGUACAUUUAUGUAU